GUCCUUUUGUUAAAAAUAAUUUAAGGUCUAACCUGCCCAUUGAUUAAAUUAAAAGGCCGCAGUAAUUUGACUGUGCAAAGGUAGCAUAAUCAUUAGUUUUUUAAUUAAAAGCUUGUAUGAAUGGUUGGACGAGAUAAAAUCUGUCUCUUUAUAAAAAAUAGAAUUUAAUUUUUAAGUUAAAAAGCUUAAAUUUAAAUAAAAGACGAGAAGACCCUAUAGAUCUUUAUAUAAUUUUUUUUAAUAUUAAUAAAGUAAAUUUUAUUUAUUAAUAAAUUUUAUAUUUUAUUGGGGUAAUAUAAAGAUUAAAUUAAUUCUUUAAAAUUUAACAAAAAUUAUUGGUUAUAUGAUCCAUUAUUAAUGAUUAUAAGAUUAAGUUACCUUAGGGAUAACAGCGUAAUUUUUUUAGAGAGUUCUUAUCAAUAAAAAAGUUUGCGA
rnacentral:rRNA from 1 species